CACUUCUUCUUCUCAUUCCGAUGAUAUUCGUUUUGCCAUUCGACAAUACGACAAAUGUCAAAGGCACUAGAGUUAUCAUUUUACUUUAUGCCACGAUUAUUGCUAUAUGUCGAUAUUUAAAUUAUUAAUCAUUUUCUAAUCACUUUCUCAUCUCAGUCUCAUUUUUCAUCUCUGUUUGCGCUACUUAACGAACUGCUCGAUCCUAAUUGCAUGUUUUCGAUCGCAGUCGUCGACAUUUGCUUAAGGUUUAACGUAAUUUUCUUAAAACAGAGAUUGUUGCGUUUCACGGAAGAUUAAACGAACUUACUAUAUUCUUUGACAGAAAGGCAACACGGUCCAAGGACUCGUCUUGAGAGAAGCUUUUCACGCUUUUUUAAAACUCUCGUUUGAUCGCGUAGGUGUUACGAGCCAUUUGAAAACUUUGCUACUCGAGACCACAAGAGGUCACGAGAUGCCUCCUAUCACAAAAGACAUUGACGUCACUUGCAAUCUUGAAAGUUUGCACGCCACGUCGUCACACUAUCCGGACAUUCCGAAAGUCACAGAUCGCCUAGAGCAUAGCGAACGCGUCCUGCAUUGCGACACUUUGAACUAGUGUUAUGCCAGUUUCCCUAUGAACAUUCAAGCCGAGAAGAAUUUCACCGAUAAUGCGUUUUAUCGGUUCGACGUCGACGCCAAUACCUUCCGCUGAAUUCUUGAAAUUCGAACGAAACUAGCGCGAAGGAAAUUGAAUUCUCAAGUCUCUGACAAGCUCCCUUCUUUUCCCUUAUACGCGAUACGAUCUUUUAUACCUAUACAGUCGAGAAAAUGGAAUAUCGUUAAAUACGAUAUUGUAGAAAAUUUCGAAACGUUGCAGUCACUGAUUACUCGUUGCACCGCCAGAAUCGACGGCGGAUGGCUCUGACGUCGAGAAAUGAUCUUCUAACCGGCGGUUCUUUUCACUCUCCACGGUGUAAUUUAUCAUAGACCACUUUCCGCAGCUGUAUUGUUCGAAAGUAAUGAAUCGGGACGAAAAUUUCGGACGUCCGCGGCAUAAAUCAUCAGCCGCUUUUAUGAAUAUACGAUGCGAGAUUUUGUAAAUUUCUUUGUAAAUUGAAUCUACGGUCACGUAAAAUAAUAAGGAUACACAAAAUGAUGGAUCGAAUCGGUCGAUUGGCAAAUUGAUCGAGUUUCAUCGGUCGGCUGGCAAAAUUAGUAAAAACGUGUGUUAAUGUAGGAAUAUUGAUCGCGCGCGAAAUCGAUGUCGUUGUCGCGUGCAAGUAUCUACAUUGCACACAAACAAACGUCGAUGAGAAAAGUAUCGAUCCUUUUGGCUAACCUUAACCUUUCGACGUUUCUCCGCGAAAAGAAAUUUCCCACAAGAAUAUUUUUAAAAAGAUCAAAUUGGUUUGCCCAUUAGAGUUGGGCAUUAAUCGAUUAAAUUUUUAGUUUGAUCGAUUGAUUAAUGCUUAGGACUUAAUCGUUAGAAAGUCGGCUAAUCGUCGUUUAAUCGAUUAAUAAUGUUAAUCGUCAAUUAUUAAUUAGUUUGGUUAUAAUUUCAUUUAAAGUAAAAUAUUUUGAAAUCGUAAUAAAGUGUCAACGCUUAAGUUAUUAGUUUAACGCGAUAAAACAUAUUAAUAAUAAAAUAAUAGAUAUAUUUCUGGUUUAUACUGUCGAGAGUAUGUUUUAUUUUCAACUUCAAAAUUUACUAAAUAAACAAGCAACAAUGAAAAACUUUAUUUCGCAUUAUGCAUUAAUAUUAUUUUAUUGUUCAUAUUGCAUUUAUAGAUGCUUCAUCAUAUCUCUACACAAGAAGAUAUAGAAAAUGCUAAUUUCAUUAUAAAAAGAAUUUCAGCAGUUAAUCGUUAACGAAGCAUUCAACUGGCGAUUAAAAUUGAAAGGAACUUAAUCGUUAAUAACAGUUAAUGAUUAAAAUAAGAAUUUAAUCGUUAUUUAUGAUUAUCAACAAAAACUCGAAUACAAUCGUUAAUUGAGAUUAAAGAUUAUUAGAAAAAUGUAAUCGUUAAUCGUUGAUUGAUUUUUUACCCAACUCUACUGUAAUGUAGAAAAAAAAACAAAAAAAAACGAGAAAUCAAGAUCACGUAACUACGUCUCAUGUUUUAAAUACCUAUCUAGAUUUUUACCGCAUAAUCGCGCGCGUAAAAAAAAAAAAGAGUAUUAGUAAUACGAAUUAACAUAACAGUAUUUCUACAUUUUUAAAUUAUUGUAAUAUAAAAUAUAAUUCAAAUGAAUCUUUUUAAUUUAAUCUUACGUAUAUAGUUGAUACAUAUUGAUGAAAAGAAUAGUUAAUAUUUAUGAUAAUUAUAAUAGGGAGCGGAAGACUCUGCGGAAUGACCUUGUUGAAAUUUUAGUCCGAUUAUAAUCUUUCUAAUUACAUUGAAAAGGUUUAUACAGAUUUUAUAAAACAUCAGUUAUUUAUUAAAAAUGAAAACAAGAUUUAUUAAACUUUUAAUGCAAUUGCACUAAGUGUCCGAUUAUUUAUGCACGAGGCUGUAAGGUUACAUAAAAUUGAAACGAUCAGAAACCAUUCCGCUAAACUUGAUUGCGCACUACAGAGAAUUGUAAAUGAAAUGUAAAUUAGGAAUGGGAAUAUGAUGAAAUGUACAAGCAAACAUAUCGCUCGAUAAAAACUCGCAUAAAUGAAUCACAAGGAUUUAUAUUGCAUGCAUGCUCACCUCUUUUUGUUUAAGUAAGUGAAAUAUUGCUUUUAAUUAAAAAUUUAUAUUUUUAAUAGCAUGCACUAUAUAUUUUUCGGAGCACUGAAUUUCAUGAAACAUACCUCGUGGAGAAAGUUCCUGCGAGGAGAAUUAUUUCUUGCUUUGAUGAAUCAUGUAAAUGUAAACCAACCGUACAAUAAAUUAGCGCUACUUUAGCAGUGUUAUUUUUUGUCUCCCAUGUAACAAGCAAAUUUGGGACAUUAAUUUAUGUUUUACCGUGACACAAAGAAUUAAUCAGCACGCGAAUAAACCGACGAAUUGUGUUUCUUUGUUAUUUCGUCGAUUUUAUCUUUUAAAUUAAUUCUUUAGUCAUUACUUAUGCCAUUCACGUCAUUACUUAUGCUGAAAAAAGAAGUGUUUAUGUAGAUGCACGGUUGCCUCUAGGGAAACAAUCGCUCAUUGGUAUAUACAUAUACAUAUAUACUCUCGCGGGAGAAUAUUCACGAUUCCGCAUCCUUUCAUCUGAGUUCUCUUACAAGGCUAAGGUUCUCGGAAAACGUUCCUUUCAACGAAACUUAUUGCUCAGACCUUACGUUUAAGAAAAAAAAGCAAAAGCACGUAAAGAGAGCUCGUAAUUACAAACAGAAUCGCGCUACUGUUCAACUAACGGGGGCGCAGUGUAAGGAUUUCAUUAACGUGGUAGGAUACCAAGGUAUAAACGAUAUUAGAUAAAACUGGUAUCAUCAAUAUCUGUUCGAUGCCCGUGGUAUCGCUUUCGAAAUAUUCUGAAAUAAGAGAAGAAGGAGGAGGACGAGGCGAAAUUCACAAGUUAACAAAUUAAACAGAUUGAAACGAAAUCUCCUCCUUGCUCCUCAGCGACUCCAGAGAACCGUGUACAUAUAUAUCGCGUCCGCGGUUAACGUUAGACACAAAAGCGUGCAAUAGCAAACGUUGGAAUCGAUCUGUCCUACCUUUAUAAUACUGACAACCCUCUCGUGCAUAAUCAUGAGAAUGUAUGACAUACGUAUGCCCUGGUUUUCCCUGCCCACCACCGCCGCCUCCUACCGCUGCUCCAACCCCACUGCCACCCUCUCUUACUACCGAAAGGAUCGUUAGCACGAAGUAAUGCCAGUGAAGGAUAUCCGUUCGAAAAGGUCAAGAGUCCACGCGAGCUUGCCGUGUGCUACGCGGUUGAUUCUUUUAUUGCACCGUACUACAUUUUCUUUUUUCUUCUUCUUCUUCUUCUUCUUCUUCUUCUUCUUCUUUUCCUUUCCCACGUGUAUUUCUCGCCUCGGCCACAGCCUCCGGGAAGAAAGAGGAAGACGAAGAGAUACGUGAGAAACGUACCACAUCCUUCUUGCACCUUUAAAACGUUGCUGCUCGAGGGCUUUGAUGGCCUCGCUUAAUGGAACACUUAUCCCUCGAAGUUCUAUAAUGUUCUGCGGAUGAAACAGUCUGUAAACGUUUUUUCUUUUCUUUUCUUUUCUUUUCUUUUCUUUUUUCUCCUCUUUUUUGUUUGAAAGGAAAGGAGAGGAGAAGGAAGAGAGUUUAAAUCUUGGUAAUUGUCAUAAACUCGAUUGAACCGGUUGACGCGCUUUUGUUGCCCACUCUCCGAUAGCCAAUGUAAUCUCGAAGCUUCGUGUUAUUGCAUCGGCUAUUGCAUCAUUUUACGCGGAAAAAAAAAGCCGAUGUAUUUCGGGCGCGCAUCGCGAUUGAAUUUCGAUUCAACGAAAAUGGAAGAAAGCGAGAGACACACGUGCAUAAAAAAUCGAUAAUCGUCUCGUUUCGACUCGGAGUAUUUCUCGAGGAACGAUCACUUGAACCCGGCGUUUCGUCCUUUUUACGAUCAUUUAUCGAUAGCAAUUGGCGCGGUGCAUGUUGGUUGCCGAUAAAUUGUGCAAGGGAAACGAGAUGAACGCGGGGAACACGGGUACGAUAACCCCAGUUUGACCUCGGGUGGACUCUUGACCUGCUUUCGGAAUCGUUUAAUUCAUAGUAACGUUUCGUUGUCGUUGAUUAAAUCGCAGCUGCUGCUACUGCCCUAUCGAUCCAGCGUUGUUUAAUUGGCAUCGUUAAUCGACCGGCUUGAAAGCACACAGAGAUAGCGAGGAAUCCGCCGAAACUGCUAUCAAUCUCUUUAUUUGAAUCGAGUUCCACGGAUCUGGGUCAACGCCGGCAAAUGCAUACACUCCGCAUCGAAAUAUCUCGCGGAGUUUGGCCCUUUCCCCCGCCCUCCCCUCUUCGCUGUUUCGAUUGCUCCGCACACGACCGGACGAGCUUAAUCCUUGAACUUGGUGACACGAAAUCUUUUCAAAGUCGAUCCACGCGAAAGCAGCGCUAAGUCGAAUUCUCCGUAUCUCCCUUUGAAUAUUCAUGACCACGCUCGGAAACGGAGCUUUUCCUUAUCAUUUCAUUUUACGUUAGCAAGCAGAUAUCCCAACGGUCUAUCAUUUUUCUUCUCUAUACCCUCCACUCUUUCUUUCUAUGUGCGAACAGUUUCGUAAAAACUUCCCGUACUUUACUUCCCGUAAAAAAACUACCUGUACCUUUCGCCCGACUGGCAAUUGAAAUUAAUUGCGUAUUAUUAGCAAAGCACGAUGCAAACCGGUGGUUUUACCUGUGCAGGAAUGAUUAAUGCUUUUCCAACGUUCACCUCUUGGUACAAGCCCUCCAUUAUUCCUGCCGUUCUACGCGUAAUUGUUUUAGUUGUGAAAAAUCACUACGUGUUUGUACAUCGGGUGGAAUGUUAAUCCUUGACAAACCUGUCACGUUCUGCGCAAUUGGCAAUAGCUGUCCGUCUUUCAAUUAUCGCAAUCACAUUGUACACUUCGCCGCUGACAUGGC